rnacentral:rRNA from 1 species
AUUGAACGCUGGCGGCAUGCUUUACACAUGCAAGUCGAACGGUAACAGGUUAAGCUGACGAGUGGCGAACGGGUGAGUAAUGCAUCGGAACGUGCCCGAUCGUGGGGGAUAACGCAGCGAAAGCUGCGCUAAUACCGCAUACGAUCUGAGGAUGAAAGCGGGGGACCGUAAGGCCUCGCGCGAUCGGAGCGGCCGAUGUCAGAUUAGGUAGUUGGUGGGGUAAAGGCUCACCAAGCCGGCGAUCUGUAGCUGGUCUGAGAGGACGACCAGCCACACUGGGAAUGAGACACGGCCCAGACUCCUACGGGAGGCAGCAGUGGGGAAUUUUGGACAAUGGGCGAAAGCCUGAUCCAGCAAUGCCGCGUGCAGGAAGAAGGCCUUCGGGUUGUAAACUGCUUUUGUACGGAGCGAAAAGGCUCUCUCUAAUACAGGGGGCUCAUGACGGUACCGUAAGAAUAAGCACCGGCUAACUACGUGCCAGCAGCCGCAGUAA